GGUGGUUUGGCCGAGUGGUUAAGGCGUUGUGUUUAGGUCAUUCGAAAGAAAACCUUAAUCCCGCAAUUCUAACGAGCGUGUAAGUGCGCCCUAACCCCCAAGUAAAUAGUAAAAGUGAUCUAAUGUAUUCCUUUCUAGGGGUUCGAAUCCCACAGCCAUCA